UCAAAAUGAAAAAUUAUUUGCCUUGUGUUUUCUCUUAUUCACCAGUAAUAUGACGGGAUAUGCUUUCUUUUUCCAGGUCUCAAACAACGAAAGGUAUUUGGUUGGCAAAAUCUCCCAACUUUCAGCGGUUUACUCUUGUCAUGGACAUAGAGGGUACAGAUGGGAGAGAACGAGGAGAGGAUGAUACAACAUUCGAGAAGCAGAGUACCCUUUUUGCCCUCGCUGUUUCAGAUGUAGUGCUCAUUAACAUGUGGUGCCAUGACAUUGGCCGUGAGCAAGCUGCAAAUAAGCCUCUCCUAAAAACUGUGUUCCAGGUGAUGAUGCGAUUGUUUACUCCGCGUAAGUCAACUCUGAUAUUUGUCAUCCGUGAUAAGACAAAGACGCCAUUGGAGUAUUUAGAACCUAUUCUUAGAGAAGACAUUCAGAAGAUAUGGGACUCUGCUCCUAAGCCUGAAGCCCACAUGAAUACUCCAUUAAGUGAAUUUUUUAAUGUUGAGGUUGUUGCUCUUUCAAGUUGUGAACGCAUGGAAGACCAAUUUACAGAGGAGGUUGGUUGCAUGAGGCAGAGAUUCUUCCAUCCUAAUGAACAUGGUGAACUUGCUGGAGAUCGUCACGGUGCAGUUCCUGCUUCAGGAUUUUCUUUCAGUGCAGUCAAGAUAUGGGAAGACAUCAAACAAAACAAAGAUCUUAAUAUUCCUUCCCACAAGGUCAUGGUGGCUACUGUACGUUGUGAAGAGAUUGUCAAUGAGAAGUAUGCCGCUUUUGCAGGAAAUAAGGAAUGGAGUCAGUUGGAAAAGGCGGUUCAAUCUGCUACUGAUCAUGAUCAUCGUGGCUUUGGAGAUAAGCUCAGUAGAAUACUUGAUACUUAUAUAUCAGAGUAUGAUGGAGAGGCUACAUAUUAUGAUGAAGGUGUCAGAUCUGAGAAGCGCAAGCAGCUUGAAGAAAAAUUGCUGAAACUUGCUCAACCUGCAUUCAAAGCUUCGCUGAAACAUAUAAGAUGUUCUACUCUGGAUAAGUUCAAGGAAGCAUUUAAGAGGGCCUUGGACGGGCAGGAGGGAUUUUCUGUGGCUGUUUCUAAUUGUACCGAGUAUUUAAUGGCUCAAUUUGACAAAGAUUGUGCAGAUGCUGCUAUCAAACAAGCAAACUGGGACACAUCUAAAGUAAAGGAUAAACUCAGGCGUGAUAUAGAAGCCCAUGUUGCUUCAGUUCUUUCUGACAAGAUAACUCAACAUACUGCACUUUGUAAGGAAAAGUUGGAGGAGUUGUUAUUAGGACCAGUGAAAGCCCUUCUAGAAAAAGCUAGUAAUGAGACCUGGCCCACAAUAAGGACACUUCUCCAGCUAGAGACUGAAUCAGUUUCUUCUGGGAGCUGGAAUGCACAUCGUGGCUUUGAUAUGGAUGAACAAACCAAAGCCAAAAUACAUGCAAGUCUAGAAGAACAUGGAAGAGGUGUGGUUGAAGCUAAAGCCAAGGAAGAGGCUGGAAGGGUUCUGACGUCUAUGGUGGCCAGGUUUUCAAAAAAUUUUAGCCACGAUUCUGAUUCAAUCGAACGUGUUUGGAACCCAAAUGAAGAUAUUAGAGCAAUCGCCAAAACUGCUCGUUCUGCAUCCCUAGAAGUGCUUUCUGUUAUGGCUGCGAUCCGUUUGCAUCAUGAUGGUGAUGAAAUUCAGAAUACUUUAUCGCUUUCCUUCCUGGAUUCCACAGAUCCUUCUUCUGAAGAUAGGAAUAUUACAAGAAUUGACCCACUGGGCUUAAAUGCUUGGGAAAAGAAAACGUGGACUGCAAAGUGCCUCCCUCCCUCUCCACCCCCUCCCCAACUCUCUCUCUCUCUCUCUCUCUCUCUCUCUCUGUCUCAUUUUGUUCUAGCCUCUAAUUCUCAUAUGUGUGGGAACGAUUCAUGGCAGAAGCCGAGGUCAUUGUUUCUGACGCCAUUGCUAAACAGGAAGCUAACAAGCGUAAUAACAACUGGUUACCACCUAUUUGGGCAAUUGUUGCCUUGAUCGUUCUGGGAUUCAAUGAAUUUAUGGCACUUUAUAGAAAUCCUUUCUAUCUGUGUGUCAUCAUUGUUGUCUUUGUGCUCUUUCAUGCCCUGUGGGUGCGGCUGGACAUUGCGGGUGAAUUCCACAAUGGUGUUCUUCCUGGGCUUCAAUCUUUGUCCGCAAAGAUCGUUCCAACUAUCGGGUGCAUGAUUAAAAGACCAGCAGAGGAAAGGACAAGGCCUGCAGCUAGAUGAUAAAAAAAGAGCACAGGAAAUGCUAGCAGUGAUGUUGGUUGAUUAUUUAUAACAUUGUCAAGUCAUUCAUUAUUUCAUACGUACGCAGUAGAUACAUGUUGCCCAUCCUUUCUUUAUUCACCAGCUGCCGCCUUGUGUUUAAGCAAGUCAAAGCUA